rnacentral:snoRNA from 1 species
UGGGUGAAUACUAUGUUCUUUUUCAACGUUUCACACAGCCAGACACCACACAAAAAGAAAAUUUUCCUUUGAGAUUAUUUUUUAUAGUAUGCUGGGGUUUUUUUAUGGCAUGUCAUUAUUAAAAGUGACUAUAAAG